rnacentral:rRNA from 1 species
AACCCCGCCUGUUUACCAAAAACAUCACUUCUAGCAUUAACAGUAUUAGAGGCACUGCCUGCCCAGUGACACUAGUUAAACGGCCGCGGUAUCCUGACCGUGCAAAGGUAGCAUAAUCAUUUGUUCCUUAAUUAGGGACUUGUAUGAAUGGCCUCACGAGGGUUUAACUGUCUCUUACUUUUAAUCAGUGAAAUUGACCUUCCCGUGAAGAGGCGGGAAUAAAAUAAUAAGACGAGAAGACCCUAUGGAGCUUAAAUUAACUUGUCCAACAUGACUAAACUUUAAAUCCAACAGGAGUAAUAUUAAUUUAAUUGGACAAUAAAUUUUGGUUGGGGUGACCUCGGAGUAUAAAUCAACCUCCGAGAAACUAAACUAAGACUAAUUCGUCGAAGUAAUUUAAUUUAUUGAUCCAAUCAUAUUGAUCAACGGACUAAGUUACCCUAGGGAUAACAGCGCAAUCCUAUUUAAGAGUUCAUAUCGACAAUAGGGUUUACGACCUCGAUGUUGGAUCAGGACAUCCCAAUGGUGCAGCAGCUAUUAAAGGUUCGUUUGUUCAACGAUUAAAGUCC